GUAGGUGGCAAGCGUUGUCCGGAAUUAUUGGGCGUAAAGCGCGCGCAGGCGGUUCUUUAAGUCUGAUGUGAAAGCCCACGGCUCAACCGUGGAGGGUCAUUGGAAACUGGAGAACUUGAGUGCAGAAGAGGAAAGCGGAAUUCCACGUGUAGCGGUGAAAUGCGUAGAGAUGUGGAGGAACACCAGUGGCGAAGGCGGCUUUCUGGUCUGUAACUGACGCUGAGGCGCGAAAGCGUGGGGGAGCAAACAGGGUUAGAUACCCUGGUAGUCCACGCCGUAAACGAUGAGUGCUAAGUGUUAGGGGGGUUUUCCGCCCCCCUUAGUGCUGCAGCUAACGCAUUAAGCACUCCGCCUGGGAGUACGGCCGCAAGGCUG
rnacentral:rRNA from 1 species